UAAAAAAAAAAAAAAAAAAUUUUAAUUGUUAGAUUACGAGUUGCUAUAUUACUACCAACAGAGUAGUGAAGUAGUACUCUAAGGCGCCACAGCCCCACAGACUCACCCACCCUUAUAUACUAGUGUUCUACCAGUUUUAGGGGGAAUCAAAAUGUUUAUUUUGAGAUGCACAUUUCUCAUGCUUUUCUUGUGCAUGUGCAUUACACUUUGCUAGUUUUGGCUUGAAACUUACCUUGUCAUUUCUUUUAUCAUUGCCUCCAG
rnacentral:misc_RNA from 1 species